ACCUACGGGAGGCAGCAGUGAGGAAUAUUGGUCAAUGGCCGAGAGGCUGAACCAGCCAAGUCGCGUGAGGGAAGACGGCCCUACGGGUUGUAAACCUCUUUUGUCGGGGAGCAAAGAGAGUCACGUGUGACUCAUUGAGAGUACCCGAAGAAAAAGCAUCGGCUAACUCCGUGCCAGCAGCCGCGGUAAUACGGAGGAUGCGAGCGUUAUCCGGAUUUAUUGGGCGUAAAGAGAACGCAGGCGGUCUUUUAAGUCUGAUGUGAAAGCCUUCGGCUUAAACGGAGUAGUGCAUUUGAACCUGGGAG
rnacentral:rRNA from 1 species